CUGGGCAGUGUAUAUAACUAGGGUUACCCGAUCUGGUGUUUGCCUUCAAUUAAUCAGUGAAAUAUUAACUAUUGAUCAAUUAAAUUAGUGAAGCUAUAGGUAGCAUGGGUACUAGAGGUGAAAGCAGUGGGGGUGGGCAAAGCUCCUUAAAUUACCUUUUUGGAUCAGAAGAACGGCCAAAGCCUCCUCCCCCAAAGACAGUUUCAUAUUCGUUGCCACCUUAUGGAAUUGACAUCGAUAUCAACCACAAUCCCCCCACUGCUCAAGGCCAACACCUGGGAAACGUUCUCACCAAUCGUCCAUCCACAAAAGUCAAAUCGGUUCCAGGUGGACACUCAUCGCUUGGAUACUUGUUCGGAGACAAGUGAUCGAUCGAUCAUGUUUUCAUUUUAUCUCGAUCGAAUUCCCUGAUAUAUAGUGCAUGUAUGGUGCAUCUGAAAAGGAGUAUCAUCUUGAUUGGGUGUGUCAUUACUACUGUACAUGUCUUGCAAAAAAAAUAUUGCAUCAGUGUGUGCUUUCUAUCGAUAUGGUAGGUAGGUGAAGUGUGUGGCUUUUAUUGUUAAUUAUGUUGGCAUUGCUUUGAUUUCUACGGGUUGCACAAAGUUCAGGUCUGUGUUUCUUUGCAGCUUCCUCAUCUUGUUUCUAAUCUUUGGCACGCCUUGUGCUAGCUAGGUUACAAGUUAUUAAUAAAAUCAUUUGGCUUUCUCUACCAAGAAAAAGGAAUGCAAGUAUUAUUUCUGCUGUACUUCCAACAAAUUAAACGAGAUCGAUAUUUCCUUUUCA